GAGGGUAUAGCUCAGUGGUAGAGCACGUUCUUAACAUGCACAAGGUCUGGGUUCAAUCCCCAGUGCCUCUG
rnacentral:tRNA from 1 species